rnacentral:rRNA from 1 species
UACAGAGGGUGCGAGCGUUACUCGGAAUUACUGGGCGUAAAGGGUGCGUAGGCGGUUAUGUAAGACAGGUGUGAAAUCCCCGGGCUUAACCUGGGAACUGCAUUUGUGACUGCAUCGCUGGAGUGCGGCAGAGGGGGAUGGAAUUCCGCGUGUAGCAGUGAAAUGCGUAGAUAUGCGGAGGAACACCGAUGGCGAAGGCAAUCCCCUGGGCCUGCACUGACGCUCAUGCACGAAAGCGUGGGGAGCAAACAGG